rnacentral:rRNA from 1 species
ACGGGGCGGCGAGCUAAAGAUGCAGGCAGCUCGGACUCCAGCGGGAGUGAUGCGGCGGACGGGUGAGGAACACGUGUGCAAUCUGCCCAUUGGACUGGAAUAACGCCUGGAAACGGGUGCUAAGGUCAUAUAGGCACAGAAUAGGCCUCUCUUUUGUGGUGAAGAUGCUUUGGCAUCGCCAGUGGAGGAGCCGUCGGUGCAGUUAGCUAGUUGGAGGGGUAAAGGCCCUCCAAGGCGACGAUGCGUAGUCGACCUGAGAGGGGGAACGGCCACACUGGAGCUGAUACUCGGCCCAUACUCCUACUGGAGGCAGCAUUAGGGAAUCUUCCGCUAUGGGCUCAAGCCUGACUGAGCUACGCCGGCGUAAGCGAAGAAGGCCUUCGGGUUGUAAAGCUUAGUCGCUCGGGAAUAGCGGGUGGGAGAGGGAAGGCUCCCACCGAGAAGGUACCGGGAGAGGAAAGCCCGGGAAACUACUCGCCCAUCAGCCGCGGAUAA